rnacentral:rRNA from 1 species
GACGAACCGUCCAAACGUUGAUCGGAAUCACUGGGCUUAAAGGGCGCGUAGGCGGACCCGCCCGUCCGGGGUGAAAGCUUUCGGCUCAACCGGAAAAGUGCCUUGGAUACCGCGGGUCUGGAGGGAGGUAGGGGCAUGUGGAACUUCUGGUGGAGCGGUGAAAUGCGUUGAUAUCAGAAGGAACGCCGGUGGCGAAAGCGACGUGCUGGACCUCUUCUGACGCUGAGGCGCGAAAGCCAGGGGAGCAAACGGG